ensembl:lncRNA
GCCAAGACCAAAAGUUGGACACUCAACCAACUGAGACACCCAGGUGUCCCUCCCUUAAAAGUUUAAGUGACUAAAUUGCUUUAUAUAAGUUUAUGAGGGCCACUGUUCUUAUUUAAAAAUAAAAAUAAAGAAGGAAAAUAACAUAUUUAUUAAGGGAUACUUUUUUGGUAUUUCAUUGAGAGGUGCCAAAUUUCAUUUUUAUAUAUUAGAUUAAGUCAAGGAGAGGGGAUACUAAAGAAAAACAAAACAGUGCAUCAAGUCAAAAGAAACAAAGAAAAUAAUCACUCGUUAUUUACAUUGAAGAAAAAAUAAGCAUAGCCAGAAAAAAAUCUAAUUCUUGAAACAAAUCUACAUUAUUGGUAGAGUCUUAAAAAAGUGUUUAAUGAGAUUUCUUUGUUGUUGUUGUUGUUUGUUUGUUUCCCUGAAUAGGAGAUGUUAGCUCUUCCUCCACGGUAUCAGUGUUUAAUUCUGUAUUUAUCUAUAGAGAAACGCCAUUUAGGAGCCUUGAAUGUGAUGAAAGCAUGCUGCCUCCAGGAUACCUUGGAAUAUUGCCUCACAGUCAGUGUUCAGAAGGCUUGAAUAAAGGUUUCAAAAAGCAAGUAAGAGAAAGGCGUACCAUCUGCAUCUGCCCUGUUUAUUCUGCAGCUCUAGAAGACCAAGAAUGAUUUUGAGAGUUAAAAGAGAUCAUACUCUGGACAUCCUGCCAAAGAACAUACUCAUAAGAUUUGUUGUUAGAACACGUCUCAAGAGUUUCUAUGAGAGAUUAAAAAGUGUAUUCGACUCUAUAAAUAUGGAGCACCAAAUUAUAAGGUACAGUUAAAUAAGAUAUUGUUUUUGUUCCCUCGGAGACCUCAGAACAAACAAACCAUGCCAACACCUUGAUUUUGGACUUCUAAAUCUCCCAAAUGGUCAGAGAAUAAAUUUCCUUUG